CCUACGGGAGGCAGCAGUGGGGAAUAUUGCGCAAUGGGCGAAAGCCUGACGCAGCGACGCCGCGUGAGGGAUGAAGGUCUUCGGAGCGGAAACCUCGGUCAGCAGGGAAGAACGGUCACUGGGCUAAUCAGCAGUGAAUUGACGGUACCGGCAAAGGAAGCACCGGCUAACUCCGUGCCAGCAGCCGCGGUAAGCCGGAGGGGGCGAGCGUUAAUCGGAAUUACUGGGCGGAAAGCGCUCGUAGGCGGUAAGUCAAGGCACGGGUGAAAUCCCCGCGCUCAACCUGGGAACUGCCUUUGACACUGGCAAACUGGAGUGUGUGAGAGGCUAGUGGAAUUCCCGUUGUAGU
rnacentral:rRNA from 1 species